rnacentral:rRNA from 1 species
UACGUAGGGGGCUAGCGUUGUUCGGAAUUACUGGGCGUAAAGCGCGCGCAGGCGGUUUUCCAAGUCAGUGGUGAAAGCCCGGAGCUCAACUCCGGAAAUGCCAUUGAAACUGCAAAACUUGAGUACGAGAGAGGUGAGUGGAAUUCCCAGUGUAGAGGUGAAAUUCGUAGAUAUUGGGAAGAACACCGGUGGCGAAGGCGGCUCACUGGCUCGUAACUGACGCUCAGGCGCGAUAGCGUGGGGAUCAAACAGG